ensembl:lncRNA novel transcript
AAAUUGCUCCAGAUCCUAGAAAAUAAAAGCAGGAAAGGAAAGGUUGGCUGAACAGGGAAGGAAAAUAUGUCAAGAACAAAAGACAAAUGAUUAUCUCAGGAAAAGUUCCUGCCCCUCUAAACUCUGUGCUGGGCAGCCACACGUGCCCGUGGGAAAGUGCUGUGUCCUUGGAGUGCCCUGCACGCUGCAACUGAAGCCAACAAGACACGGCCCAGACAGGGAGCAGGUUCUGCUAACAGUGGGGAGGGGACAUCUGGCAGCAUCUCUCCCAAGCAGCAACGGUAGCAGUGGUGGCAGCAACAGCAGCAGCAGCUGGGGAGUGUCCCUCCAACUUCAGAGUGAGCAGCAGCAGCUGACCAGAUUGGAGGACAUUUCCACUGUCUUCCCUGGCAGCUGUGAUGUGUUGUGCGGUGGCAGCUGAGGAUUGCCUGCGUGUAAUCUUUGAGGUUCCAAGAUGCUUGUUGGAAGUGGAGCCUGGUCAAGCAGCAGAAAGGACAGCUGGAUCCAUGCUGGGUGGGGUGAGGUGGGGUGCUUGUCAGGGAAGUUGGCUUCAGCUGGAACUGGAGGUUGGCUCCAGCAAAGGAGGUUGAACAUCACUGAUUCCUGACCUGCAGCACCCAAAUGGCCACAAAGAGAUGUCAUGGGUUUUGAGGAGGCCACAGAGCCAACAGCUUUAGUGUCUUCAGAAGGAUGAAGAAAACUUGAACAACAUUUUAAAAUAGCUUGAGAUAUAAUUCACAUCCCAGAGAGUGCAUCCAUCUAAAGGGUACAAUUCAAUGGAUUUUAGUAUAUUUACGGAGCUGUGCAUUCAUCACUACAAUUAAUUAUAGAACUUCUUCAUUUACUCAAAAUACCCCAGCACCCCUUAGCUAUCACCCUGAUUCCUCUAUCUCCCCCAGCCCUAGGCAACCAUUAAUCUUUUUUGUAUCCAUAGAUUUGUCUAUCCUAGACAUUUCAUAUAAAUGGAAUCAUGCAAUAUACGACCCUUCUUUCACUUUGUGUAAUGCUGUCAAGGUACAUCCACGUGAUAUCAGUUCCUCAUUCUUUUUAUGGCCAAAUCACAUUCCAUUGUAUGGAUAUAUUACAUUUUAUUUAUCUGUUCAUCAGUUGGUGGACAUUUGGGUUGGUUUCCAUGUUUUUGGCUGUUAGGAAUGAUGUCCCCAUGAACAUUCAUGUACAAGUUUUUGUGUGGACAUGUGUUUUCAUUUCUCUUGGACAUAUGCCUAGGAGUGGAAUUGAGUCACAUGGUAACUUUAUAACCAUUUGAGGAACUUCCAGACUGUUUUUCAAAGUGGCUACACCAUUGUACAUCCCCACCAGCAAUGUACAAGGGUUCCAGUUUCUCCACAUUUUUUUCAACUUUUUUUUUAAUCAUUUGACUUUUUUUUGAGACAGAGUCUCACUCUGUCGCCAGGCUGGAGUGCAGUGGCGUGAUCUCAGCUCACUGCAACCUCCGCCUCCUGGGUUCAAGCGAUUCUCCUGCCUCAGCCUCCCAAGUAGCUGAGACUCCAGGUAUAUGCCACCAUGACCAGCUAAUGUUUGUAUUUUUAGUAGAGACGGGGUUUCACCAUGUUGGUCAGGAUGGUCUUGAUCUCUUGACCUCAUGAUCCACCUGCCUCAGCCUCCCAAAGUGCUGGGAUUACAGGCAUGAGCCACCGUGCCCGGCCUCAUCUGACUUUUUAAUUAAAGCUACCCUAGCAGACAUGAAGUG